rnacentral:rRNA from 1 species
GACGAACGCUGGCGGCGUGCCUAAUACAUGCAAGUCGAACGCUGAAGGAGGAGCUUGCUUCUCUGGAUGAGUUGCGAACGGGUGAGUAACGCGUAGGUAACCUGCCUGGUAGCGGGGGAUAACUAUUGGAAACGAUAGCUAAUACCGCAUAAGAGUAGAUGUCGCAUGACAUUUGCUUAAAAGGUGCAAUUGCAUCACUACCAGAUGGACCUGCGUUGUAUUAGCUAGUUGGUGAGGUAACGGCUCACCAAGGCAACGAUACAUAGCCGACCUGAGAGGGUGAUCGGCCACACUGGGACUGAGACACGGCCCAGACUCCUACGGGAGGCAGCAGUAGGGAAUCUUCGGCAAGGGACGGAAGUCUGACCGAGCAACGCCGCGGGAGUGAAGAAGGUUUUCGGAUCGUAAAGCUCUGUUGUAAGAGAAGAACGAGUGAGAGAGUGGAAAGUUCACACUGUGACGGUAGCUUACCAGAAAGGGACGGCUAACUACGUG